UACGUAGGGGGCAAGCGUUGUCCGGAAUCAUUGGGCGUAAAGCGCGCGUAGGCGGCCCGGUAAGUCCGCUCUGAAAGUCCAGGGCUUAACCCUGGAAAGCGGGUGGAUACUGCCGGGCUUGAAUCCGGAAGAGGCGAGUGGAAUUCCUGGUGUAGCGGUGGAAUGCGCAGAUAUCAGGAGGAACACCAAUGGCGAAGGCAGCUCGCUGGAACGUGACUGACGCUGAGACGCGAAAGCGUGGGGAGCAAACAGG
rnacentral:rRNA from 1 species